ACUCCUCAGGCAAACAUCUAACAACUAGCCGCUACAUGCUUCAUUUAGCUCGCUAGCUAGUUGCUAAUGUUAUCUGUCUGCUGUUCAAUGUUGGGCAGGUAGCAUACAGUGAGGUUGUAGAGCUUUUCCACUGAAAAAACAUUUGCCAGCUGCAGAUGGAAACAACGCUAAUGAGAGUUCUGCUGAUCAGCCCAGCCAAGAGAGAAUUACGGCCCUCCCAUGGGGGACAAGAGAGGCCAACAAGGGACAGACUGAAGUCCAGAGUGUGUGGUGCAAGUAAAGCCCCUUCUCUCCUCUUCCCUUGUCCUCCUCUCUUCUCCCCGGCACCGGCCCCCAGACACAAGCCUCUUUCUGUUGGGGCAUCGCCAUGGCAACCAAGCCACUAACUUGAGGAGGCGACAUAAAAACCUGCUCUUUUAGGGGACACAGGAACACCUGCCACCUCCGCCGAUGGGGAGGGCUGGGCUUGACGCACGGCCACGUGCAGACACACACUUACAUACAAAUUCAUGUGGUCACAAAUGUAGACACACACACACACGCUCUCUCUCACACACACACAGACAUAAACAGAGGAUCAGUGUAACAUUCAAAUGAGACCUCUAGCUAACAUCUGCUCCCCUUUAGAAUCUCAUUUAUCUUCCAAUAACAUCUCAGGUUGUUUGGUGGCUUUCUAAACGUGUUGUUGUGGCAAAAGACAGGAGAAUAAUUUUAUGGAAACAAAGAAUUCAUUAUUGAUAAGGUUUAUGACACAAAGUCAUCCUUGUUUUAACAUCUCACUUGUAUCUUUUUUUUUACACCAGUGGUUACUGUAAUGAAGAUUCAGGAUGAUGCACCUGCUCUGCUGUUUGACCAGCUUAUCCAGGCAACACCAGCUGUACUUGUGAGGUCAUUAGGUGAAAGAGUCUUGCUUGUUAACUGUUAGUUAACCUCACGUACACCUGAGACACUCCCUGAUUAUAGGGGAAAGUAUCUUAAAGGAAUAGUUUGAC